rnacentral:sRNA from 1 species
AGUCAGGGGGAGUUAAAACUGAGUCCCAGUCACAGGAAACAGUAGUGAGUAGAGCCACUGCAAGUGUUGAGAAAUCCAAAGACCAUAUUGAAGUCAAGCCCAAACCUGAAGUUGUAGAAAAGCCCAUGUUAACUCCUAAACCAGUCAAAGCCUUUACAGGUGUACGCCAGUCCAAAGUUCGACACAUUCAAGGUCAGCUGCUUCACCCGAGCUGU